GUGCACCAGUCGAGAAACCUCCGCAAUACACGAAAGUGUGACGGGGCCAUCCCGAGUGCCGUCCGCUGAGGACGGCUUUUCCCCAGUGUACACAGCUGGGGGAAUAAGGAGAGGGCAAGCCUGGUGUCAGCCGCCGCGGUAAUACCAGCUCUCCGAGUGGUGGGGACGCUUAUUGGGCCUAAAGCAUCCGUGGCCGGCUGGGCAAGUCCUCCGUUAAAAUCCAACGAUUCAAUCGUUGGGCUGCGGGGGAUACUGUCCAGCUUGGGGGCGGGAGAGGCCGACGGUAUUCCCGGGGUAGGGGUGAAAUCCUAUAAUCCCGGGAGGACCACCAGUGGCGAAGGCUGUCGGCUAGAACGCGCCCGACGGUGAGGGAUGAAAAGCUGGGGGAGCGAACCGGAUUAGAUACCCGGUAGU
rnacentral:rRNA from 1 species